UACGUAGGUGGCAAGCGUUGUCCGGAAUUAUUGGGCGUAAAGCGCGCGCAGGCGGUCCUUUAAGUCUGAUGUGAAAGCCCACGGCUCAACCGUGGAGGGUCAUUGGAAACUGGGGGACUUGAGUGCAGAAGAGGAAAGCGGAAUUCCACGUGUAGCGGUGAAAUGCGUAGAGAUGUGGAGGAACACCAGUGGCGAAGGCGAGUCUCUGGACGACUCCUGACACUGAGGCACGAAAGCUGGGGGAGCAAACAGG
rnacentral:rRNA from 1 species